UAAAAAAUCUGAUUCAAUGGUUAAUAUAAAACCUCACAUAUCCUCAUGUUUUUGGAUUCAAAACUGUUACAGGGCAAAGAUGUCUUCAUUGCCAACAUGUAUAUUGUACCAACGUGGAAGCACAAAGACGUCGAUCCAAUGUCAAGCCUUCCAAGGGAUGCACAUCUAAAGGAUGCACUCCUCUUCCCAGCGUGGAGCAAGCACAACGGGCCAGAGCAUUACCUUCUCUGUGUAAGUGUUGAAAAGAAAAAUAC